rnacentral:sRNA from 1 species
UGGAAGUAAAAGGUUCGUACAAGGUCUCCGUUGGUGAACCAGCGGAGGGAUCAUUAUCGAGUUACCGCUCUUCAACCCUUUGUGAACAUACCCAACUGUUGCUUCGGCGGGUCGGGGCGCCCUCCCGGGGGCGCCCCCCAGGCCCGGCCCCUCCCGGGGCCGAGCGCCCGCCGGAGGAUCACCCAACUCUAUUUUAACGACGUUUCUUCUGAGUGGCACAAGCAAAUAAUUAAAACUUUUAACAACGGAUCUCUUGGUUCUGGCAUCGAUGAAGAACGCAGCGAAAUGCGAUAAGUAAUGUGAAUUGCAGAAUUCAGUGAAUCAUCGAAUCUUUGAACGCACAUUGCGCCCGCCAGCAUUCUGGCGGGCAUGCCUGUUCGAGCGUCAUUUCAACCCUCAAGCCCGGCUUGGUGUUCCGGCGGGCGCUCGGCCCCGGGAGGGGCCGGGCCUGGGGGGCGCCCCCGGGAGGGCGCCCCGACCCGCCGAAGCAACAGUUGGGUAUGUUCACAAAGGGUUGAAGAGCGGUAACUCGAUAAUGAUCCCUCCGCUGGUUCACCAACGGAGACCUUGUACGAACCUUUUACUUCCA